GGAGGGAUGCUGGAGUGGCCGAACAGGCACGACUGGAAAUCGUGUAAACCGCAAGGUUUCGUGGGUUCAAAUCCCACUCCCUCCGCCG
rnacentral:tRNA from 1 species